rnacentral:rRNA from 1 species
GUAGGGAAUAUUGGGCAAUGGAUGCAAGUCUGACCCAGCCAUCCCGCGUGCCGGAAGAAGGCCCUCAGGGUUGUAAACGGCUUUUGACGGUGAAGAAUCGACAGGAUGCGUCCUGUUUUGACGGUAGCCGUUGAAUAAGCACCGGCUAACUCCGUGCCAGCAGCCGCGGUAAUACGGAGGGUGCGAGCGUUGUCCGGAUUUAUUGGGUUUAAAGGGUGCGUAGGCUGGAGGGACAGUCAGCGGUGAAAAGCAGUUGCUCAACAUUUGUCUUGCCGCAGAUACUACCUUUCUUGGAUGAGGAGGAGGCCACUGGAACGGAUGGUGUAGCGGUGAAAUGCAUAGAUAUCAUCCAGAACACCGAUUGCGAAGGCAGGUGGCUGUACCUUAAUCGACGCUGAUGCACGAAAGCAUGGGGAGCAAACAGGAUUAGAAACCCUGGUAGUCC